CGUUUCGGGCGCGGACGGCGCGAUUUCGGGUGCCGGCGAGGGAUGGGAUCCGUCUCGCCGGGCGAUCGGUGGCCCCGGGGUCGCGCCCGGCUCCGGCGACGCCGUUCCGGGUGCCAAUGAGGCGGUUUUGGGCGCCGGGGAGGAGCCGAGCCCCGUCUGCCGCGCCGCCGGGCGUCCCCGCGCCGUCCUUGGUGCCCCCGUCGUGGUUUCGGGUGCCACCAACACGAUUUCGGGCACCAACGAGGGACCGGAUCCAUCUUUCCGCGAAACCGACGGUCCCGGAAUCAUCUCCGGCGGCGCCGACGCCAUUUCGGGCGCCGGGGACAUCGUUUUGGGUGCCAGCGACGUGAUUUUGGGUGCCGGUGAGGGAUUGGAUCCACCUUGCCGCGAAACCGGUGGUCCCGGAGUCACCUCCGGCGCUGGGAACGCCGUUUUGGGUGCCGAUAACGCAAUUUCAGGUGCCGGCGAAGACUUGAAUCCAUUUUGCUGCAAAACUGGUGGUUCUGGAGUCACCUCCAGUGGUGCCAACGCCAUCUCGGGCGCCGUGGAUGCCGUUUUGGGUGCCGGAGAAGCCGUUUCGGGUGCCACCAACGUGAUUUCGGGUGCCGGCGAGGGAUGGGAUCCAUCUUGCCACGAAACUGGUGGUUCUGGCGUCAUCUCCGGUGGUGCCAACGUCAUCUUGGGCACCAAGGACACCGUUUCGGGCACCAGGGAUGGCGUUUUGGGUGUCACUAACACAAUUUUGGGUGCCGGCGAGGGAUUCGAUCCAUCUCGCGGCAAAAUUGGUGGUUCUGGAGUCAUCUCCGGUGGUGCCAACGCCAUCUCAGGCAGCAGGGACGCCGUUUUGGGCGCCGUAGAUGCCAUUUCGGGUGCCGUAGACGCCAUUUUGGGUGCCGCGGACACCGUUUCGGGUGCCACCAACGUGAUUUUGGGUGCUGGCAAGUGAUCGGAUGCGUCUUGCCGCGAAUCUGGUGGUCCUGGAGUCGUCUCCGGUGGUGCCAACAUCAUCUUGGGCACCAAGGACACCGUUUUGGGCGCCAUAGAUGCCAUUUCAGGUGUCGUAAACACCAUUUCAGGCACCGUAGACGCCAUUUCGAGCGCCGUGGACACUAUUUCGGGUGUCGUAAACACCGUUUUGGGUGCUGUAGACGCCAUUUCGGGUGCCGUAAACACCGUUUCGGGCGCCGCAGACGCCGUUCCGAGGGCCGCGGGCGCCGUCGCGGGCGCGCCGGGGCGGUGGAGGCGCUGGUGUCCCAGCAGCUGGGCGCGGAGGCGGAAAACCUUGGGGCAGAGGCCGCAGCGGUGCCGCCGUCGCCGCCGGCUCUGCAGGGCGGCCGCGGG
rnacentral:lncRNA from 1 species